GUCCACCCACCGGUGGAGCCGAACCGCAGCGCCGGCAGCGGCAGGCAAAGCAUCGGCUUCACGCGAUCUCCUAGUCUCACACUGCUCUUGACGCUCGAUUCUUACCCCCCCCCCCCCCCAAACGAAGCCGACGACAGGCACAUCGCGCUCGAGUCGGGCUCGUCGGAUGGCGGCGUCCGGAGGAGUCGCCCGCGGCCGCCUCGCCGAGGAGCGCAAGAGCCACCCCCAUGGAUUCGUGGCGAAGCCGGAGACGCUGCCGGAUGGGACCGUCAACCUCAUGGUCUGGAAGUGCGUCAUACCCGGCAAGGAAGGCAUUAUGCCGGAGUACAGGAAACUUGUUCGUCAGCAGGCGAAGCUAUAUCCUUCGCUCGUGUAGCACUGUACCGUCUACCACACGCUUGCAGGCUUGCAGGCUCCAUUUUGGUGGAGCGGAACUUGUCAUGAUUGUGUUUAUGAUUACCCACUGGAAUUUUCAUCAUAUUCGUACUCUUAUUGGAACCGCUAAAAUGCACUUCAAAUGCAUGUAAUACUUAUUGCUAUGGCUUAUCAGCAUAUUGUGGUGCCUAAACUGUGGAAAGCUCUGUUCAACUGUGGAUAUUUACAGUUUUUGCGAAUAUGAGGGACGCUCAUUGCCAUAGUAAAAAAAAAGAAAGAGGAGUUACUUCCCUCAAUGCAAGUAAAAGUUAUAUGGCUGA